UCCCUGGUGGCUCAGACGGUAAAGCGUCUGCCUACAAUGCAGGAGACCCAGGUUCGAUCCCUGGGUUGGAAA
rnacentral:tRNA from 1 species